AAUUCGACGCAACGCGAAGAACCUUACCAGGGCUUGACAUCCCCUGACCGCGUAUGAAAGUACGUUUUCACCCUCGGGUGACAGGGAGACAGGUGGUGCAUGGUUGUCGUCAGCUCGUGUCGUGAGAUGUUGGGUUAAGUCCCGCAACGAGCGCAACCCCUACGUUUAGUUGCUAACGCGUGAAGGCGAGCACUCUAGACGAACUGCCGUUGACAAAACGGAGGAAGGUGGGGAUGACGUCAAAUCAUCAUGCCCCUUAUGUUCUGGGCUACACACGUGCUACAAUGGCCGGUACAGACGGACGCAAAGCCGCGAGGUGGAGCAAAUCCUAAAAAGCCGGUCUCAGUUCGGAUUGCAGGCUGCAAUUCGCCUGCAUGAAGUCGGAAUCGCUAGUAAUCGCAGGUCAGCAUACUGCGGUGAAUACGUUCCCGGGCCGUU
rnacentral:rRNA from 1 species